CCUACGGGUGGCUGCAGUGGGGAAUAUUGCACAAUGGGGGGAACCCUGAUGCAGCGACGCCGCGUGGAGGAGGAAGUACUUCGGUAGGUAAAGCCCUAUUAGCCGGGAAGAAAAUGACGGUACCUGACUAAGAAGCGCCUGCUAACUACGUCCCAGCAGCCGCGGUAAUACGUAGGGGGCAAGCGUUAUCCGGUUUUACUGGGUGAAAAGGGAGCGUAGACGGCGUGCCAAGUCUGGUGUGAAAGGCCGGGUCUCAACCCUGGGACUGCAUUGGACACGGGCAUGCUGGAGUUCCGGAGGGGCAAGCGGAAUUCCGAGUGUAGCGGUGAAAUGCGUAGAUAUUAGGAGGAACACCGGUGGCGAAGGCGGCUUGCUGGACGGUAACUGACGUUGAGGCUCGAAAGCGUGGGGAGCAAACAGGAUUAGAUACCGAGUAGUC
rnacentral:rRNA from 1 species